rnacentral:rRNA from 1 species
UGGCGAACGGGUGAGUAAUGCGUGACCGACCUGCCCCAUGCACCGGAAUAGCUCCUGGAAACGGGUGGUAAUGCCGGAUGUUCCACAUGAGCGCAUGCGAGUGUGGGAAAGGCUUUUUGCGGCAUGGGAUGGGGUCGCGUCCUAUCAGCUUGUUGGUGGGGUAACGGCCUACCAAGGCGUUGACGGGUAGCCGGCCUGAGAGGGCGACCGGCCACAUUGGGACUGAGAUACGGCCCAGACUCCUACGGAAGGCAGCAG